UUAAGCGACUAAGCGUACACGGUGGAUGCCCUGGCAGUCAGAGGCGAUGAAGGACGUGCUAAUCUGCGAUAAGCGUCGGUAAGGUGAUAUGAACCGUUAUAACCGGCGAUUUCCGAAUGGGGAAACCCAGUGUGAUUCGUCACACUAUCAUUAACUGAAUCCAUAGGUUAAUGAGGCGAACCGGGGGAACUGAAACAUCUAAGUACCCCGAGGAAAAGAAAUCAACCGAGAUUCCCCCAGUAGCGGCGAGCGAACGGGGAGGAGCCCAGAGCCUGAAUCAGUGUGUGUGUUAGUGGAAGCGUCUGGAAAGGCGCGCGAUACAGGGUGACAGCCCCGUACACAAAAAUGCACAUAUUGUGAGCUCGAUGAGUAGGGCGGGACACGUGGUAUCCUGUCUGAAUAUGGGGGGACCAUCCUCCAAGGCUAAAUACUCCUGACUGACCGAUAGUGAACCAGUACCGUGAGGGAAAGGCGAAAAGAACCCCGGCGAGGGGAGUGAAAAAGAACCUGAAACCGUGUACGUACAAGCAGUGGGAGCACGCUUAGGCGUGUGACUGCGUACCUUUUGUAUAAUGGGUCAGCGACUUAUAUUCUGUAGCAAGGUUAACCGAAUAGGGGAGCCGAAGGGAAACCGAGUCUUAACUGGGCGUUAAGUUGCAGGGUAUAGACCCGAAACCCGGUGAUCUAGCCAUGGGCAGGUUGAAGGUUGGGUAACACUAACUGGAGGACCGAACCGACUAAUGUUGAAAAAUUAGCGGAUGACUUGUGGCUGGGGGUGAAAGGCCAAUCAAACCGGGAGAUAGCUGGUUCUCCCCGAAAGCUAUUUAGGUAGCGCCUCGUGAAUUCAUCUCCGGGGGUAGAGCACUGUUUCGGCAAGGGGGUCAUCCCGACUUACCAACCCGAUGCAAACUGCGAAUACCGGAGAAUGUUAUCACGGGAGACACACGGCGGGUGCUAACGUCCGUCGUGAAGAGGGAAACAACCCAGACCGCCAGCUAAGGUCCCAAAGUCAUGGUUAAGUGGGAAACGAUGUGGGAAGGCCCAGACAGCCAGGAUGUUGGCUUAGAAGCAGCCAUCAUUUAAAGAAAGCGUAAUAGCUCACUGGUCGAGUCGGCCUGCGCGGAAGAUGUAACGGGGCUAAACCAUGCACCGAAGCUGCGGCAGCGACGCUGAUGCGUUGUUGGGUAGGGGAGCGUUCUGUAAGCCUGCGAAGGUGUGCUGUGAGGCAUGCUGGAGGUAUCAGAAGUGCGAAUGCUGACAUAAGUAACGAUAAAGCGGGUGAAAAGCCCGCUCGCCGGAAGACCAAGGGUUCCUGUCCAACGUUAAUCGGGGCAGGGUGAGUCGACCCCUAAGGCGAGGCCGAAAGGCGUAGUCGAUGGGAAACAGGUUAAUAUUCCUGUACUUGGUGUUACUGCGAAGGGGGGACGGAGAAGGCUAUGUUGGCCGGGCGACGGUUGUCCCGGUUUAAGCGUGUAGGCUGGUUUUCCAGGCAAAUCCGGAAAAUCAAGGCUGAGGCGUGAUGACGAGGCACUACGGUGCUGAAGCAACAAAUGCCCUGCUUCCAGGAAAAGCCUCUAAGCAUCAGGUAACAUCAAAUCGUACCCCAAACCGACACAGGUGGUCAGGUAGAGAAUACCAAGGCGCUUGAGAGAACUCGGGUGAAGGAACUAGGCAAAAUGGUGCCGUAACUUCGGGAGAAGGCACGCUGAUAUGUAGGUGAGGUCCCUCGCGGAUGGAGCUGAAAUCAGUCGAAGAUACCAGCUGGCUGCAACUGUUUAUUAAAAACACAGCACUGUGCAAACACGAAAGUGGACGUAUACGGUGUGACGCCUGCCCGGUGCCGGAAGGUUAAUUGAUGGGGUUAGCGCAAGCGAAGCUCUUGAUCGAAGCCCCGGUAAACGGCGGCCGUAACUAUAACGGUCCUAAGGUAGCGAAAUUCCUUGUCGGGUAAGUUCCGACCUGCACGAAUGGCGUAAUGAUGGCCAGGCUGUCUCCACCCGAGACUCAGUGAAAUUGAACUCGCUGUGAAGAUGCAGUGUACCCGCGGCAAGACGGAAAGACCCCGUGAACCUUUACUAUAGCUUGACACUGAACAUUGAGCCUUGAUGUGUAGGAUAGGUGGGAGGCUUGGAAGUGUGGACGCCAGUCUGCAUGGAGCCGACCUUGAAAUACCACCCUUUAAUGUUUGAUGUUCUAACGUUGACCCGUAAUCCGGGUUGCGGACAGUGUCUGGUGGGUAGUUUGACUGGGGCGGUCUCCUCCUAAAGAGUAACGGAGGAGCACGAAGGUUGGCUAAUCCUGGUCGGACAUCAGGAGGUUAGUGCAAUGGCAUAAGCCAGCUUGACUGCGAGCGUGACGGCGCGAGCAGGUGCGAAAGCAGGUCAUAGUGAUCCGGUGGUUCUGAAUGGAAGGGCCAUCGCUCAACGGAUAAAAGGUACUCCGGGGAUAACAGGCUGAUACCGCCCAAGAGUUCAUAUCGACGGCGGUGUUUGGCACCUCGAUGUCGGCUCAUCACAUCCUGGGGCUGAAGUAGGUCCCAAGGGUAUGGCUGUUCGCCAUUUAAAGUGGUACGCGAGCUGGGUUUAGAACGUCGUGAGACAGUUCGGUCCCUAUCUGCCGUGGGCGCUGGAGAACUGAGGGGGGCUGCUCCUAGUACGAGAGGACCGGAGUGGACGCAUCACUGGUGUUCGGGUUGUCAUGCCAAUGGCACUGCCCGGUAGCUAAAUGCGGAAGAGAUAAGUGCUGAAAGCAUCUAAGCACGAAACUUGCCCCGAGAUGAGUUCUCCCUGACCCUUUAAGGGUCCUGAAGGAACGUUGAAGACGACGACGUUGAUAGGCCGGGUGUGUAAGCGCAGCGAUGCGUUGAGCUAACCGGUACUAAUGAACCGUGAGGCUUAACCUU
rnacentral:rRNA from 1 species